GACGAACGCUGGCGGCGUGCUUAACACAUGCAAGUCGUACGGUAAGGCCCUUUCGGGGGUACACGAGUGGCGAACGGGUGAGUAACACGUGAGUAACCUGCCCACAACUUUGGGAUAACGCUAGGAAACUGGUGCUAAUACUGGAUAUGUGCUCCUGCUGCAUGGUGGGGGUUGGAAAGCUCCGGCGGUUGUGGAUGGACUCGCGGCCUAUCAGCUUGUUGGUGGGGUAGUGGCCUACCAAGGCGGCGACGGGUAGCCGGCCUGAGAGGGUGACCGGCCACAUUGGGACUGAGAUACGGCCCAGACUCCUACGGGAGGCAGCAGUGGGGAAUAUUGCACAAUGGGCGCAAGCCUGAUGCAGCAACGCCGCGUGCGGGAUGACGGCCUUCGGGUUGUAAACCGCUUUCAGCAGGGACGAAGCUUUUUGUGACGGUACCUGCAGAAGAAGCACGGGCUAACUACGUG
rnacentral:rRNA from 1 species